rnacentral:lncRNA from 1 species
UUAAUAGAAUGUACUUAAAGUAUGGAUGAAAAAUAUUAAGAAAACUAUUCUUUGAAGAAAUUGUUUUGAGAAAGUAAAAAUAAAAAUGAAAAUAUUUAUGAAAAUAAAAAAUUUACUUAACCCAAAAACAAAAGUAGAAGAAAAAUUGAAACAACUUAGGCUAUAUAGUUGAAUUUUUUACUCAAAUACCCCAUAUUUUC